AGAGUUUGGUUCUGGCUCAGGACGAACGCUGGCGGCGUGCUUAACACAUGCAAGUCGAGCGGAAAGGCCCUUCGGGGUACUCGAGCGGCGAACGGGUGAGUAACACGUGAGUAAUCUGCCCCUGGCUUCGGGAUAGCCACCGGAAACGGUGAUUAAUACCGGAUAUGACUACUUCCUGCAUGGGAUGGUAGUGGAAAGUUUUUCGGCCAGGGAUGUGCUCGCGGCCUAUCAGCUUGAUGGUGAGGUAAUGGCUCACCAUGGCUUCGACGGGUAGCCGGCCUGAGAGGGUGACCGGUCACACUGGGACUGAGACACGGCCCAGACUCCUACGGGAGGCAGCAGUGGGGAAUAUUGGACAAUGGGCGGAAGCCUGAUCCAGCAACGCCGCGUGAGGGAUGACGGCCUUCGGGUUGUAAACCUCUUUCGGUAGGGACGAAGCGCAAGUGACGUACUACUA
rnacentral:rRNA from 1 species